GACGAACGCUGGCGGCGUGCCUAAUACAUGCAAGUAGAACGCACAGUUUAUACCGUAGCUUGCUACACCAUAGACUGUGAGUUGCGAACGGGUGAGUAACGCGUAGGUAACCUGCCUGGUAGCGGGGGAUAACUAUUGGAAACGAGAGCUAAUACCGCAUAAUAUUGAUUAUUGCAUGAUAAUUGAUUGAAAGAUGCUAUUGCAUCACUACCAGAUGGACCUGCGUUGUAUUAGCUAGUAGGUGAGGUAACGGCUCACCUAGGGGAAGAUACAUAGCCGACCUGGGGGGGUGCUCGGCCACACUGGGACCGAGGCACGGCCCAGAACCCUUCGGGGAGCCACCGUAGGGAAACUUCGGCAAAGGGCGGAAGUCUGGCCGAACAACGCCGGGUGGGUGGAGGAGGUUUUCGGAUCGUAAAGCUCUGUUGUAAGGGAAGAACGAGUUGGGGAGUGGAAAGUGCACACUGUGACGGUAUCUUAACAGAAAGGGACGGCUAACUACGUG
rnacentral:rRNA from 1 species